UGCAGUCGAGCGGACCGACGGGAGCUUGCUCCCUUAGGUCAGCGGCGGACGGGUGAGUAACACGUGGGUAACCUGCCUGUAAGACUGGGAUAACUCCGGGAAACCGGGGCUAAUACCGGAUGCUUGAUUGAACCGCAUGGUUCAAUCAUAAAAGGUGGCUUUUAGCUACCACUUGCAGAUGGACCCGCGGCGCAUUAGCUAGUUGGUGAGGUAACGGCUCACCAAGGCGACGAUGCGUAGCCGACCUGAGAGGGUGAUCGGCCACACUGGGACUGAGACACGGCCCAGACUCCUACGGGAGGCAGCAGUAGGGAAUCUUCCGCAAUGGACGAAAGUCUGACGGAGCAACGCCGCGUGAGUGAUGAAGGUUUUCGGAUCGUAAAACUCUGUUGUUAGGGAAGAACAAGUACCGUUCGAAUAGGGCGGCACCUUGACGGUACCUAACCAGAAAGCCACGGCUAACUACGUGCCAGCAGCCGCGGUAAUACGUAGGUGGCAAGCGUUGUCCGGGAAUUAUUGGGCGUAAAGCGCGCGCAGGCGGUUUCUUAAGUCUGAUGUGAAAGCCCCCGGCUCAACCGGGGAGGGUCAUUGGAAACUGGGGAACUUGAGUGCAGAAGAGGAGAGUGGAAUUCCACGUGUAGCGGUGAAAUGCGUAGAGAUGUGGAGGAACACCAGUGGCGAAGGCGACUCUCUGGUCUGUAACUGACGCUGAGGCGCGAAAGCGUGGGGAGCGAACAGGAUUAGAUACCCUGGUAGUCCACGCCGUAAACGAUGAGUGCUAAGUGUUAGAGGGUUUCCGCCCUUUAGUGCUGCAGCAAACGCAUUAAGCACUCCGCCUGGGGAGUACGGUCGCAAGACUGAAACUCAAAGGAAUUGACGGGGGCCCGCACAAGCGGUGGAGCAUGUGGUUUAAUUCGAAGCAACGCGAAGAACCUUACCAGGUCUUGACAUCCUCUGACAACCCUAGAGAUAGGGCUUCCCCUUCGGGGGCAGAGUGACAGGUGGUGCAUGGUUGUCGUCAGCUCGUGUCGUGAGAUGUUGGGUUAAGUCCCGCAACGAGCGCAACCCUUGAUCUUAGUUGCCAGCAUUCAGUUGGGCACUCUAAGGUGACUGCCGGUGACAAACCGGAGGAAGGUGGGGAUGACGUCAAAUCAUCAUGCCCCUUAUGACCUGGGCUACACACGUGCUACAAUGGGCAGAACAAAGGGCAGCGAAGCCGCGAGGCUAAGCCAAUCCCACAAAUCUGUUCUCAGUUCGGAUCGCAGUCUGCAACUCGACUGCGUGAAGCUGGAAUCGCUAGUAAUCGCGGAUCAGCAUGCCGCGGUGAAUACGUUCCCGGGCCUUGUACACACCGCCCGUCACACCACGAGAGUUUGUAACACCCGAAGUCGGUGAGGUAACCUUUGGAGCCAGCCGCCGAA
rnacentral:rRNA from 1 species